rnacentral:rRNA from 1 species
UACGUAGGCAGCGAGCGUUGUUCGGAGUUACUGGGCGUAAAGGGGGCGUAGGCGGCUGGUUAAGUUUGGUGUGAAAUCUCACGGCUUAACUGUGAGCGUGCGGGCGAUACGGGCAGACUAGAGUACUGCAGGGGAGACUGGAAUUCCUGGUGUAGCGGUGGAAUGCGCAGAUAUCAGGAGGAACCCCGGUGGCGAAGGCGGGUCUCUGGGCAGUAACUGACGCUGAGAAGCGAAAGCGUGGGGAGCGAACAGG